CCUACGGGAGGCAGCAGUGGGGAAUCUUGGGCACUGGGCGCAAGCCUGACCCCGCAACGCCGCGUGGAGGAAGAAGGCUCUCGGGUUGUAAACUUCUUUUAUCAGGGACGAAGCAAGUGACGGUACCUGAUGAAUAAGCCACGGCUAACUACGUGCCAUCAGCCGCGUUCAUACGAAGGUGGCAAGCGUUAUCCGGAUGUACUGGGUGUAAAGCGCUUGUAGGCUGGGAAGCAAGUAUGAUGUGAAAACCCUGGUCGCAACCUGGGGACUGCACUGGAAACUGUUUUGCUUGAGUACUGGAGAGGCAGGCGGAAUUCCUAGUGUAGCGGUGAAAUGCGUAGAUAUUAGGAGGAACACCAGUGGCGAAGGCGGCCUGCUGGACUGCAACUGACGUUGAGGCCCGAAAGCGUGGGGAGCAAACAGGAUUAGAUACCCCGGUAGUC
rnacentral:rRNA from 1 species